AGCUUGCUCCUUUGACGUUAGCGGCGGACGGGUGAGUAACACGUGGAUAACCUACCUAUAAGACUGGGAUAACUUCCGGAAACCGGAGCUAAUACCGGAUAACAUAUUGAACCGCAUGGUUCAAUAGUGAAAGGCGGCUUUGCUGUCACUUAUAGAUGGAUCCGCGCCGUAUUAUCUAGUUGGUAAGGUAACGGCUUACCAAGGCAACGAUACGUAGCCGACCUGAGAGGGUGAUCGGCCACACUGGAACUGAAACACGGUCCAGACUCCUACGGGAGGCAGCAGUACGGAAUCUUCCGCAAUGGGCGAAAGCCUGACGGAUCAACGCCGCGUGAGUGAUGAAGGUCUUCGGAUCGUAAAACUCUGUUAUCAGGGAAGAACAAAUGUGUAAGUAACUGUGCACAUCUUGACGGUACCUGAUCAGAAAGCCACGGCUAACUACCUGCCAGCAGCCGCGGUAAUACGUACGUGGCAAGCGUUAUCCGGAAUUAUUGGGCGUAAAGCGCGCGUAGGCGGUUUUUUAAGUCUGAUGUGAAAGCCCACGGCUCAACCGUGAAGGGUCAUUGGAAACUGGAAAACUUGAGUGCAGAAGAAGAAAGUGGAAUUCCAUGGUA
rnacentral:rRNA from 1 species